rnacentral:rRNA from 1 species
GAAUAUUGGGCAAUGGAGGCAACUCUGACCCAGCCAUGCCGCGUGCAGGAAGAAGGCCUUCUGGGUUGUAAACUGCUUUUAUCUAGGAAGAAAACGCCCAUGCGUGGGAAACUGACGGUACUAGAUGAAUAAGCACCGGCUAACUCCGUGCCAGCAGCCGCGGUAAUACGGAGGGUGCAAGCGUGGUCCGGAUUUAGUGGGUUUAGAGGGUGCGUAGGCGGCCCGUUAAGUCCGUGGUGAAAGCCUCCAGCUCAACUGGAGAACUGCCAUGGAUACUGGCGGGCUUGAGUACAGACGAGGUUGGCGGAAUUGAUAGUGUAGCGGUGAAAUGCAUAGAUACUAUCAAGAACACCGAUUGCGUAGGCAGCUAACUAGGCUGUAACUGACGCUGAGGCACGAAAGCGUGGGGAGCGAACAGG